CUUGAUUAAGUGGAACGUGUAUCAUUACUUAGCCAUUAUACGGAUAUAUUUAUAUAUCUUAUGGUAUUGGGUUCUGAUGCAAGCUUCUUGAUCAAAGUACUAAAGAGUUUGUUAUAUAAUUGUAAACAAAUUUUAAUGAGAUUGUUUGGCAUUUCGGUGCUUAUUCAAUCAAUAUUUAGAAUUUGGUAUAACUCCCAAUACUCAGGUAUGAUCCAAUUCAAG
rnacentral:rRNA from 1 species